rnacentral:rRNA from 1 species
ACACGUAGGGGGCGAGCGUUGUUCGGAAUCAUUGGGCGUAAAGGGCGUGCAGGCGGUCCUGCAAGUCCGGCGUGAAAGACCCCGGCCCAACCGGGGGGACGCGCUGGAAACUGCGGGGCUUGAGUACAGGAGGGGAUGCCGGAAUUCCAGGAGUAGGGGGGAAAUCUGUAGAUAUCUGGAAGAACACCAAUGGCGAAGGCAGGCAUCUGGCCAUGUACUGACGCUGAGACGCGAAGGUGCGGGGAGCAAACAGGUUUAGAUACCCUGGUAGUCCGCACAGUAAACGAUGUGCACCAGGUGGCGGGGGGUCGACCCCCGGUACCGUAGCUAACGCAUUAAGUGCACCGCCUGGGGAGUAUGCUCGCAAGGGUGAAACUCAAAUGAAUUGGCGGGG